AGGUUAGCAUGUUAAGCUGUACUUUUUGUGGCAGCUAGCUUAAUACAAAGAGGGGUUUUGUGCUUCAUUGCAAACUUUUCUUUGUUAAUCUACCUGAAACUGUAGGGACAGUUUGUUUCUACUCAACUAUACAGACCAUUGUUGAGGAGAUGCAAAACAUACUGUACAUGAGUUGGGUCCAACAUAUACCUUGAGUAAUGUUACUUUGCUGCUAAAAAUGAAACAUCAUUAUCAGAUGAGGACAUCACCAAAGUGUGUGAGCCUGUCAGGGGAUUUGAUCUGUUCUCUGCAUGUCCUAAACACUGCUCUGGUAUUACUUAUCUUGUAACAUGUAAGUCUCCCGCUCUUGUCAUCUUUCAGGCUUUGCAUUUGAACUCCUAUGACUGGUUGCGGACUUGAAGGGAACGCCUUCCUGACAUCCAGGAAAAAGGUGAGAUUAUAAUACAUUUGAAUGCCAAAAGCAAGUUAUUGUUUUUAACUUUUGAAAUAUGAUUGUUUUGGGGCAUUUCAGUUUUAUUGGACAGGCAGUAGAGAUCUACUGGAAACAGUGGAGAGGGAGGAGAUGAUAUGCAGCAUACGGCCCAGCCGGAUGGUUGCUGUUCCGUGUGGAACGUGUCCUAUCAGGUGUAACAUCUACCAAUGGUUGUACAUGACAGAGACCUCCUCCGCCUCUUUGCUGUCUUACUAGUCAAUCCUUCUGAUCAGGUCCUUUCCUAAAUAGUGAAAGGAUCAUGCCAGCCCACAUCAAACACCUGAUCAAGAGCUUGUGAACCUCACUGCUGCAGACACCUGUGUGAUAUUCCACUCUGACUGGAACCCUCAAAAUGACCUGCAGGCUCAAGCUCGGUUCGUCAUCGUUUUGGCCAGUCUAAGGCGGUGGAGGUGUACCGUCUGAUCACUAGAAACUAUGAGAGGGAAAUGCUGGAUAAAGCUAGUCUGAAGCUCGGGCUGGACCGUCCCGUCCUGCAGAGCAUGAGUGGCAACAACAACGGGCCGGUCCAGCAGUUAUCCAAGAAGGAGAUCGAGGACCUGCUGAGGAAAGGAGCCUACGCCGCCAUCAUGGACGAGAACGACGAAGGCAAUCGCUUCUGCUAGGAGGACAUCGACCAGAUCCUGCAGCGAAGAGCCACCAUCAUCACCAUCACCAGUUUGCUUCAAGCAGUGGCUGCACGAGAAAGACGUGGAGGACCAAGAAAUGCUGGCCAGAUUGGCAAAGACCGGAAGAUACAUAACAGAGAAGAUAAUGGAUAU